AUGAUCAAUGCUAUCAAGUUCCAAAGAGAAGAUUGGCUUGAACACAGAGGAGGUCACUCAAACCAAGCGCGGGAGAAGAAGUCGUGGACUUCACUGUGGAAGGUUAAAGUUCCCUCAAAAGUUAGAAUUUUUGCUUGGAGACUGUCCCAUACGUCUUUGCCGACUGGUACUACAAGGCAUGGAAGAAAGAUGGCGGACACGUCGGCAUGUUCUCUGUGUGGUGCGGAGAAUGAUACAUGGAGGCACUCGCUUUUUGAUUGCGGGAUGGCAAGGUGCAUGUGGGCGUUAGGCGAGGAGGAGAUUGUUGAGCAUGUGCUAUCUAACAGAUCUGAUGACCCUAGAUUGUGGCUCUUCUGGCUUUUUGAUACAAUGAACCAGAACGAGUUAGCAAGAGUAUUGGUCACCAUGUGGGCCAUUUGGUGGGCAAGGAGGAGGGCGAUUCACGAUGACGAAUUUCAGAGUCCUUUGUCCACUAUGUGCUUUAUUAACAGAUACUUGGAGGACCUGGCUAUUGUCUCUGUAAGCAGACCCACAGCAGGACGCUCACCACAACAGCGAUCCCAUAGAUGGAUUGCGCCAUAAGGGGGUGCAGUAAAGAUUAAUGUGGACAUCGCAGUUUCGCGAGAUGGUAAAAGGGGUGCAGUCUCGGCGAUUUGCAGGGACAAGGAUGGGAAGUAUUUGGGUUCUUCAGCUGUUACCUUUGAUGGUUUGGUUGAUGCGGCAAGCCUGGAAGCAUUAGCAUGCAGCGAAGCCCUUGCUCUGGCAAAGGACCUCAACAUUUCCCAUGUGAUCAUAGGUUUUGAUUGCAUGCAAGUGGUCUCAGAUAUUAGGGAGAAGGUGCUUUCAUCUUAUGCUGUAGUCAUAGAUGAGAUAAGAGAGACUAUGAAAAUUUUUGUGAGUUCUAGUUUCAGAUAUGAGUGUAGGGAGGCAAAUGUUGAAGCUCAUGCCAUUGCCAAGGCUGCUUCAUCUCUCCCUUCUGGUCGUCGUUUGUGGCUAGGGAUCCUACUGAACAUCACUUGUAUUCCUUCCUCAUUAUCUUUUGAAUAA
rnacentral:rRNA from 1 species